rnacentral:rRNA from 1 species
GCUCCAAUAGCGUAUAUUAAAGUUGUUGCAGUUAAAAAGCUCGUAGUUGGAUUUUGGGGCGUGCGCGCUGGUCGGCCGCAAGGUCGCACUGGCGGUUGCGCGCCUCCCCUCCGAAGGCUGCGUGUGCCUUAACUGGGCGUGCGUAGGGUUCGGGACGUUACUGUGAGAAAAUUAGAGUGUUCAAAGCAGGCUUAUGCUUG